UACGCAGGCGGACUAUUAAGUCAGUGGUGAAAUCUCUCGGCUCAACCGAGAAACUGCCAUUGAAACUGAUAGCCUUGAGUGUAGUUGUAGUAGGCGGAAUAUAGCAUGUAGCGGUGAAAUGCUUAGAUAUGCUAUAGAACACCGAUCGCGAAGGCAGCUUACUAAACUAUUACUGACGCUCAUGCACGAAAGCGUGGGGAGCAAACAGGAUUAGAUACCCUGGUAGUCC
rnacentral:rRNA from 1 species